UGGGGAAUCUUCCGCAAUGGACGAAAGUCUGACGGAGCAACGCCGCGUGAGUGAAGAAGGUUUUCGGAUCGUAAAACUCUGUUUUCAGGGACGAAUGUGCGCAGUGUAAAUAAUGCUGUGUAAUGACGGUACCUGAGUAGAAAGCCACGGCUAACUACGUGCCAGCAGCCGCGGUAAUACGUAGGUGGCAAGCGUUGUCCGGAAUUAUUGGGCGUAAAGCGCGCGCAGGUGGGAUAUUAAGUCUGGUGUUAAAGUUCGGGGCUCAACCCCGUGAAGCAUUUGGAAACUGAUAUUCUUGAGUGCAGGAGAGGAAAGUGGAAUUCCUAGUGUAGCGGUGAAAUGCGUAGAUAUUAGGAGGAACACCAGUGGCGAAGGCGACUUUCUGGACUGUGUCUGACACUGAGGCGCGAAAGCCAGGGUAGUGAACG
rnacentral:rRNA from 1 species